AUGAAUGUCCUCACCUGGUCUUUGAUCUACUUAGCAGUUCCCCUAACCUAUGUCCUGGCAGACGUGCAGCUCAUCGAAUCUGGGCCAGGACUGGUGAAACCGGGAGAGAACCUCCGCCUGACAUGUUCCGUCACAUUUUCUCGUGCUUAUGCAAAGCUUGAUGAUUACGCUUGGAGCUGGAUCCGGCAGCCCCCAGGAAAAGGCCUGGAAUGGUUGGGAACAACUGCGGUGAACAUUCUUUCUGAAGACCGUGAAAGAGUUGCACUCUAUGCUCCGUCUCUCCAAGACCGGAUGACCAUCUCAGUUGACUCAUCCCAGAAACAGCUCUACCUUCAGCUGAGCUCUCUGACGGCGGCAGACACAGCCGUAUAUUACUGUGCUGGGGAGCCACAGUGA